GAUUAAAUAGUCUAAUUAAAGAUUUUAAAUUGCAAAUUUAAAGAUAAAAAUUUUUUUUUAAUCU
rnacentral:tRNA from 1 species